UACGGGGGGGGCGAGCGUUGUUCGGAAUCACUGGGCGUAAAGGGCGCGUAGGCGGCCCGCACAAGUCUGCGGUGAAAACCCCCGGCUUAACCGGGGGCCGGCCGUGGAAACUGUCGGGCUGGAGGCUGGGAGAGGGCAGCGGAAUUCCCGGUGUAGCGGUGAAAUGCGUAGAUAUCAAGAGGAACACCUGAGGUGAAGACGGGUUGCUGGGCUGACACGUGACGCUGAGGCGCGAAAGCCAGGGGAGCAAACGGG
rnacentral:rRNA from 1 species